rnacentral:rRNA from 1 species
UACGUAGGGUGCAAGCGUUGUCCGGAUUUACUGGGUUUAAAGGGUGCGUAGGCGGCCUGAUAAGUCUGAGAUGAAAUACACAUGCUCAACGUGUGUGCUGUCUUGGAUACUGUCGGGCUUGAACACGGUAGAGGUGGCUGGAAUGAGUGGUGUAGCGGUGAAAUGCGUAGAGAUCACUCAGAACACCAAUUGCGAAGGCAGGUCACUGGGCCGUAGUUGACGCUGAGGCACGAAAGCGUGGGGAUCAAACAGG